ensembl:lncRNA
AAAAAAAUUUUACUUUAAGUUCUGGGAUAAAUGUACAGAAUGUGCAGGUUUGUUGCAUAGAUAUAAGUGUGCCAUGGUGGUUUGCUGUACCUGUUGACCCAACCUCUAAGUUCCCUCCUCUUGUCUCCACCUCCCAACAGGCCCUGGUGUGGUUGAUCUCUUCCCUGUGUCCAUAUGUUCUCACUGUUCAACUCCCACUUAUGAUUGAGAAGAUGAGGUGUUUUUGGUUUUCUGUUCCUGUGUUAAUGUGCUGAAGAUGAUGACUUCCAGCUUCAUCCAUGUCCCUGCAAAGAACAUGAUCUCAUUUCUUUUUAUGGUUGCAUAACAUUCCAUGGUGAUUAAAUCUAAAGCUGAGAUUUAUGAAGUUUGACAACUACGCUGAGACAAAAUAGCUCUGCUGGUCUGCUUUCCUCUGGUUGCCUUCAGCAGUGCAGAAAUACUGCUCUGCUGGAAUGAAUGCACAUAAUUAUUCCGGAACCUCACUCAGAGAGAAGUAUAAUUAUUUGCCUGAACAGAGAGUAUUUGAAGUUUUCAACUUCUGAUGGAACAAAAGGAAAGCCAUCCUCCAGCUGGCUUCCUGUGAAACUCCCAAGGCACUUGGAGAGGUCACAUGAAGAUGUUCCAGUUGACAGCUUCAGCUAAGCAACAAGCCGGCAAUCAUCAAUAAAUGCCAACCACAUGAGUAAGCCAAUUAGAUUUUAAAACCUAGUCAAGGUUUAAAUGACUGCAGCUUCAAGGAACAUCUAACUGUGAUCACAUGAAAGAGCCUCAGUAUGAACUGCCCGUCUAAGCCCAGGUAACCCACCGAACCAAGAAAGAUAAAAUAAAUUGUUGUUUAAAGCCAAUAAGUAUUAGAGUUACUUGUUAUACUGAAAUAGAUAACACAGAUAAGUACUGAUAUACCAUUUUGAAAUAUUAUUUGUAUUCUAUACUUUAUAAUUUAUUCUUUAUUUUUCUAUCUGAAGUUUAUAAUACUGCUUUCCCAAUUUUCUCAUUUUCGAUAUGAUUUUAUUAAUUAUAGUGUAUUUUCUUUCCAAGUGAACAUGAGAUUUCUAAUAAUGUUAACUUAUACUUGCUUAUGAUUUUAGUUUUAUUGAGCCUAUUGAAAAUGAUCUUAAACCCGUCUCAUCUUGAACCCAGGUCCUGCAGUGGUAUCUAUUACAUACAUUUUUAUGGGAUUGGACACAAAUAGUCAUUUCAUUGUUGUUACAGGAAGAUAAUUUUUCAUCUUCCUUUACAGAUCCAGCAUCAAGUUUACAUUUCAUUCUCAUUCUCCACCAUCACAUCUAUUGUCUAUUUCCUCUUGCUCAAAAUUACUUCUAGAUAUUAAGGCCUUUGCCUUAAAUGAAAACAAAUUAUAUGUGUCUUUUCUCAUUUUAUAAAAUGGUAUUUAAAAACAGUAAAUAAACCAUUUUGACCUUUAUUCAUAUGGCUGUUUUACAUUUUUAAAAUAGAAGUCCUAACCACUUCAGUUAUCUUUUCAUGGCAUACACAUAUUUCUACGAUCAGAAUUAUAGAAAUACAUAGUAUUAUUCACCCCCUAACUUUCUCCUAAUAAACAAUGCCAAAAUCAGGAGUAUAUAUUUGUCAGAAUUAUAAUAAAUAAUUAUACAAAUGCAUGUGACUGAUUAUAUUAUGUAGCAAUAGAUUUGAGGGUCUCAGAAAAGAAAGAGGCUCCUCAUACUGAUCUCCGAUCUUUUCAAUUAAAAAAAAAUCAUAGGGUGUAUUCUUAGAUAUCGGAUUUUAGAAAAAGGCAGACAACAGAGGAACUUUAUCUUUCUUUUCUCCUUUUGCAUUUUGGUUAUUUUUUUCUCUCAGUAUUUUUCAAAUAAAACUAGUGAGACAUACCUGGCCAAUGACUGUUGAAUAUUUUUGUAUUCUUUUUGUGUGCAGCUUCAACCACUAUUUUUGAUUACCUCUUCUGGCAUGAUCACAAUUUCCUAUAAUAUUUCUUUUCUCUCCCAAGGGAAAUUAAUGUCUGUUUCUAGCAUUUGUCCCUUAUUUCCUUUAUGAAAACUGAGACAAGAAAGCAAGAGAUUAAUUUAAUAUUUUAGCAAUAUCUAUUUCAUUGGUCGAUAAUUUAUUCUUAUAAUUUUUACUCUGCAAUCUUCUUAGGAUGACCUCUGGUCCUUUAUAUGCCUGAAACACAUUUUGUACAGUGCUUUGACCUCCUGUGAUAUUUUUCAUUCAUUCUUUACUUCAAGUUUCCCUUUUAUUUUAUUUUCACGACUGUGCCCUUUGUCUCUUAACUGCAAUUCCAUAAACCAAUAUUUUAUACCUCAUAUCUGAGCUGCUCACAUACUUGAUUACUUUUUACAAAUAAUUUUUUAUUCAUAUUGGAUUUUUAAAAAUUCUGUGAUACUUACUUUUAGGUUACACAUAAACACACUCCUUUGGAAACAUUAAGUGUUAAUUUACUUUGGAAUAUGCUCCAUUUUUCUUCUCUUUUUUGUUUUAGUCCACAGGAGAAAAAUUAUGCCUCAGCCUCCUGGGUAGCUGGGACUACAGGUGCACGCCACCAUGCCUGGCUAAUUUUUGUAUUUUUAGUAGAGAUGGGGUUUCACCAUGUUGGUCAGGAUAGUCUCAAUCUCUUGACCUCAUGAUCCACCUGCCUCAGCCUCCCAAAGGUAUAGGACUACAGGGCAUGAGCUACCAUACUUGGCCAAUAAAACAUUUUUUUUUUAAAUCACAACUACAAUACUGCAGUUUACCAAUUUCUAAUUUUUCCUGUAUUGAUUCCUUUUUUUCCUUAUUAAUCUCAGAUGUUUCCUAAUGUUUCUUUAUUUCUUGUUUUAUACUUGUAUGCAGGCAUCUUAAAACAUGGCUCUAUCAUGUGUGUUUAUAGCAGUUAACACAGUAAAUAUGUUCCUACGUUUGAACUUCCCCUUUAACUAUAACCAUUCAUGGUCAAACAUGCAAAGAACAUGUCAGAGUAGCAAUCAUCUGUUACCAAUUUAGUUUUCUUGUUUUAGACAUUUUAUAAUUCCUUACAGUCUUCGGUUUUCCUGAAAUAAAUUCCUUAGACAUAGUUAUUUUUUAAUCUUUUAAAAAAUAUGCUCUGUAUGUACUCUUUAACCUUUGUACCUGGCACUGUGUCUUGUUUCCCAUCCAGUUGAUAUAUUUACC